rnacentral:rRNA from 1 species
GACGAACGCUGGCGGCGUGCUUAACACAUGCAAGUCGAACGGAAAGGCCCUGCUUUUGUGGGGUGCUCGAGUGGCGAACGGGUGAGUAACACGUGAGUAACCUGCCCUUGACUUUGGGAUAACUUCAGGAAACUGGGGCUAAUACCGGAUAGGAGCUCCUGCUGCAUGGUGGGGGUUGGAAAGUUUCGUCGGUUGGGGAUGGACUCGCGGCUUAUCAGCUUGUUGGUGGGGUAGUGGCUUACCAAGGCUUUGACGGGUAGCCGGCCUGAGAGGGUGACCGGCCACAUUGAGACUGAGAUACGGACCAGACUCCUACGGAAGGCAGAAGUGGGAAAUAUGGCAGAAUGGGGGGAAGCCUGAUGCAGCAACGACGCGUGCGGGAUAACGGCCUUCGGGUUGUAAACCGCUUUCGCCUGUGACGAAGCGUGAGUGACGGUAAUGGGUAAAGAAGCACCGGCUAACUACGUG